UGGGGAAUAUUGCACAAUGGGCGCAAGCCUGAUGCAGCAAUGCCGCGUGUGUGAAGAAGGCCUUAGGGUUGUAAAGCACUUUCACCGGUGACGAUGAUGACGGUAGCCGGAGAAGAAGCCCCGGCUAACUCCGUGCCAGCAGCCGCGGUAAUACGGAGGGGGCAAGCGUUGUUCGGAUUUACUGGGCGUAAAGAGCACGUAGGCGGCGCGGUCAGUCGGAGGUGAAUGCCCCGGGCUCAACCUGGGAACUGCCUUUGAUACUGCUGUGCUGGAGUCCGGGAGAGGGUGGUGGAAUUCCCAGUGUAGAGGUGAAAUUCGUAGAUAUUGGGAAGAACACCAGUGGCGAAGGCGGCCACCUGGCCCGGGACUGACGCUGAGGUGCGAAAGCGUGGGGAGCAAACAGGAUUAGAUACCCCCGUAGUCC
rnacentral:rRNA from 1 species